UUCAUCGCGUGUGGUGUGAAUGAAUCUCAUUCAUAAUCAUCGCGUAAGAAGACCUGUACAAAUUAGGAAGAUGUGAAGAAUAUUGUUGUUGUGAAUGGCUGAAUAAGUGUGAACUUGUGAUCUUAUCUCACCAGUUUAUUCGAUGUAUAAAUGUAAACAGUCGUCCGUCAGAAAAGUUAUUUGUUAUUUAAGAGAUUUUUUAUGCUUGUAGUUAGCGGCACUGGAGAUUCGACGCACGGCCAAAGGCGCGAUACUCAAAAGUAAUUACGAUGUCGUAAAUACAUGAAAAAAAUCAUGAAUCAGGUUUGAAAAAUUGUCUGUCAAGUGCAAACUUAAAAGUUGGAGUUACAGACGUCGUCGAACUUACGAUCUCCGUAAGAAUAUUUGAGUAUACAAACGCGAAGCUAAGGCCAGUGAACCCACCACAAGCUGCACGCCAAAGAUGCCAGUCUUAUUACUGAGUUGGAGUUUUGUCCCUGAAACUUCGAAUUAUUUACCCUGAAGCUCUUCUCGCCAAGAUUAUUAGUAUAAUUUUUGCCUGAGAAACGAGCAAGAAACGAAAAAUUUACGGAAAAAAUAGAGAAUGAUUGUGAGGAAUGGAACAAUAAAAUUUCUGACAAGUCUAGAGAAUUGAAGAAGAAACAAAGAAGACUCCCAAAAAUUAUUCUGCCUUGUGAUCAGUAUAUCAGCCGGAAGCUAUAAGGUGAAAAAAUUUUUUGUACAACGAAAUGAAGUAAAUCUGCAUUUAACUUCUACAGAAAGAAACUAUUUGAGGAGCUGAGCGCCACCUUUCAUUUGGCUCAAAGAAAUUCGUUUUUCAGAAGAAAAAUAAAACUCUACGGAAUAAGAACGCCUGGCAACGAAAAAUUCUCUUUAGACGCCGGAUGUUUCCUCAAAAUCUGCGGACAGUCUACACUUUUACGGAUUUCCAACAUCAUUGUACUAUCUCAUCACUAAAAUAUUAUUGUGCUAUCAAUAUCAUUGUACACUCUCGUAUAGAUUUGCUGACGUUCGAUUUGUUAUGUUAUAAUUUUACUCUUAUAUACACAAAAAACAUAAUGUUAAGCCUCUAAUUACAUAAACAAUCAUCGAUGACGUACAAAAAUGCACGUUUUGUCUCGCUUUUUCAUAUCCACAAAAUCUGCACAACAAUUAAAACUUGGGCAUUACUUGAAUUAAUCAAAAAUUAUUUAUUGCUCCAAAUUCUUCUGAUGGCGAGUUGCCGUAACAAUAUAAUUAGACAAAUUAGAAGCUGUCACAAUUAUUUUUAAUCCUUCGUACUUAAAAUAAGAUUCUCAUUGAUGUGUUGAAUUGUGAUCUUAUGAAUGUGUUGAAUUCUGAUCAACGUUUUCGUGUUGACGUCAUGACUCAUGUUGGGAAGCAGUCUCUACACUCAGUAGAAUGAGUGGGUCAAAUUGUCCAAAUCGUGUCACACUUUAGUGCCUUCAGCACGAGCAGAGAGCAAACGUAGCACUGAUACGAUAUUUUGCCAGGAAAACUGGGUCAGGAUGACCCAGAAUGCAUUAUCCCAGAGGGUAAAGAAUGCAUCCUAAUUCGGAUGAAGUCUCACUCAUUUGGAUGAGUGUAGAGAAGUAAUUAACAUGAAACGAAAUUGUAAUACUCGAUUCUUAGCAAAAUAGUUAAUUGGAAAUUGAAUUUGUAAACAAUUAGUGGCAGUGAUUCCACCUAGGAUAUAAAUAAUUAAUACCAUAUUACAAAUAACAUUUACAUUAUCGUAAUCAAAAAUUUGCCAAGUAUAAUACGAGACUGACAGUUGAAAUAAAGCUUCGUUUUCACUGAUGGUCUUAUUAAAACGUAUUUUAGAAGUAAAGCUUUAGGUUUCUUCUGAAAACUUUGCUGUGGCUGCGUCCAUGUGGAUUUGGAAGCCAAUUUGUCUUAUAAUUUUUCACAAUAAAAUAAAAUCGACAAAAGAACCUGGCAUAAAUUAACGCUUUUUGUGGAUAUUUAGUUAUGUCUAUACCGGCAUUAUGUGUGCUAUUUCUUUGUAUUCUUGAUGGAAAUUUCUAUGGAUUUAUACAAAAUGUUUAUUUUUACAUAAAACGUCGAAUAAAAAAGUGUUUUAUCAUCUCCUCA